rnacentral:rRNA from 1 species
AGUGAACGCUGGCGGUAGGCCUAACACAUGCAAGUCGAACGGCAGCACAGGAGAGCUUGCUCUCUGGGUGGCGAGUGGCGGACGGGUGAGGAAUACAUCGGAAUCUACUUUUUCGUGGGGGAUAACGUAGGGAAACUUACGCUAAUACCGCAUACGACCUACGGGUGAAAGCAGGGGAUCUUAGGACCUUGCGCGAUUGAAUGAGCCGAUGUCGGAUUAGCUAGUUGGCGGGGUAAAGGCCCACCAAGGCGACGAUCCGUAGCUGGUCUGAGAGGAUGAUCAGCCACACUGAAACUGGGACACGGUCCAGACUCCUACGGGAGGAAGCAGUGGGGAAUAUUGGACAAUGGGCGCAAGCCUGAUCCAGCCAUACCGCGUGGGUGAAGAAGGCCUUCGGGUUGUAAAGCCCUUUUGUUGGGAAAGAAAUCCAGCUGGUUAAUACCCGGUUGGGAUGACGGUACCCAAAGAAUAAGCACCGGCUAACUUCGUGCCAGCCGCCGCAGUAA